GCUGGGCAUGGUGUCACAUGCCUAUAAUCCCUGCUACUGAGGUAGGUGAGGCUGCUGCAUUGCUGGAGCUCAGGACCUCUGAGAUGUAGUGUGCUAAGCCAAUCAAGUGUCCACACUAAAUCUGGCCACCAAUAUGGUACCUAGAGACCACCAGGCUGCUUAAGGAGGGAAGGACUGCCCCAGGUUGGAAACUGAGGAGGUCACAGCUCCUGUGCUGAUCAGUAGUGGGAUUGAGCCUCUAAAUGGCCACUGCACUUUUAUCAAGGCUGAGAUAAGGGGACCCAGUCUCCA
rnacentral:SRP_RNA from 1 species